rnacentral:rRNA from 1 species
GGCCGAAUUCGGGAUCCGUUUCCGUAGGUGAACCUGCGGAAGGAUCA